GGUAGCUAAUACCGCAUAACGUCGCAAGACCAAAGAGGGGGACCUUCGGGCCUCUUGCCAUCGGAUGUGCCCAGAUGGGAUUAGCUAGUAGGUGGGGUAAAGGCUCACCUAGGCGACGAUCCCUAGCUGGUCUGAGAGGAUGACCAGCCACACUGGAACUGAGACACGGUCCAGACUCCUACGGGAGGCAGCAGUGGGGAAUAUUGCACAAUGGGCGCAAGCCUGAUGCAGCCAUGCCGCGUGUAUGAAGAAGGCCUUCGGGUUGUAAAGUACUUUCAGCGGGGAGGAAGGG
rnacentral:rRNA from 1 species